rnacentral:rRNA from 1 species
GACGAACGCUGGCGGCGUGCCUAAUACAUGCAAGUUGAGCGCUGAAGGUUGGUACUUGUACCAACUGGAUGAGCAGCGAACGGGUGAGUAACGCGUGGUGAAUCUGCCUUUGAGCGGGGGACAACAUUUGGAAACGAAUGCUAAUACCGCAUAAAAACUUUAAACACAAGUUUUAAGUUUGAAAGAUGCAAUUGCAUCACUCAAAGAUGAUCCCGCGUUGUAUUAGCUAGUUGGUGAGGUAAAGGCUCACCAAGGCGAUGAUACAUAGCCGACCUGAGAGGGUGAUCGGCCACAUUGGGACUGAGACACGGCCCAAACUCCUACGGGAGGCAGCAGGAGGGAAUCUUCGGCAAUGGAAGAAAGUCUGACCGAGCAACGCCGCGUGAGUGAAGAAGGUUUUCGGAUCGUAAAACUCUGUUGGUAGAGAAGAACGUUGGUGAGAGUGGAAAGCUCAUCAAGUGACGGUAACUACCCAGAAAGGGACGGCUAACUACGUG